AGUGAACGCUGGCGGUAGGCCUAACACAUGCAAGUCGAACGGCAGCACAGUAAGAGCUUGCUCUUACGGGUGGCGAGUGGCGGACGGGUGAGGAAUACAUCGGAAUCUACUUUUUCGUGGGGGAUAACGUAGGGAAACUUACGCUAAUACCGCAUACGACCUACGGGUGAAAGCAGGGGAUCUUCGGACCUUGCGCGAUUGAAUGAGCCGAUGUCGGAUUAGCUAGUUGGCGGGGUAAAGGCCCACCAAGGCGACGAUCCGUAGCUGGUCUGGGAGGAUGAUCAGGCAACAUGGAAAGGAGAAAAGGUCCAGACUACUAAGGGAGGGAGCAGUGGGGAAUAUUGGACAAUGGGCGCAAGCCUGAUCCAGCCAUACCGCGUGGGUGAAGAAGGCCUUCGGGUUGUAAAGCCCGUUUGUUGGGAAAGAAAAGCAGCAGGUUAAUACCCCGCUGUUCUGACGGUACCCAAAGAAUAAGCACCGGCUAACUUCGUG
rnacentral:rRNA from 1 species